GAGGAGUAGCCGGAUUUGCGGAAAUAGUUGAUGAUGGUUGUACUUAAAAGUUUCGACCAAUUACCCAGGAGACCAGACAGGAUUCUGUGCCAUCGGAAUAAAAUGCUUCGGUGUAAGACAAUGCCUGCUAGGUGGUAUUGCUUGCAGUUCACUGAGACACACAAACCAAUGACCAUGCAAAACCCAUACCUUCAAAGAAGAGAAUAUGAUUAGGGGCAGGAUGUGGGCCAACGAAGGAGCGUCCCCAUUCUACAUGAAGGAACAGCUGGGCUUGUGCUUCCUAGAUCAUUCUCGGAGAAACACUAGUUUUCAGGGCAAUUGAUUCAUAAAUACAGUGACAUUUAUGGAAAACAAGAGGAAACGAGCGAGGCUGAACUUGUUUGGUUACUUCUCAUCCCAUACAGGUAGCUGCUUCCAACCGCUUCUCCACUAAAUCAAGCUUGUCCUCAAUUCUUAUUGGACCGUUUGACAACAAAACGCCACUGGACUGUCUGGAGGAUGAACACUUGACCCUGGGCACCACUGUACUGUAUGGAGAGAGCCCGUUGUGUGUUAUAGUGAAGAU